rnacentral:rRNA from 1 species
UACGAAGGGGGCUAGCGUUGCUCGGAAUCACUGGGCGUAAAGCGCACGUAGGCGGAUCUUUAAGUCAGGGGUGAAAUCCCAAGGCUCAACCUUGGAACUGCCUUUGAUACUGGGGAUCUCGAGUCCGGAAGAGGUGAGUGGAACUGCGAGUGUAGAGGUGAAAUUCGUAGAUAUUCGCAAGAACACCAGUGGCGAAGGCGGCUCACUGGUCCGGUACUGACGCUGAGGUGCGAAAAGCGUGGGGAGCAAACAGGG